rnacentral:rRNA from 1 species
CCUACGGGAGGCAGCAGUGGGGAAUAUUGGACAAUGGGGGCAACCCUGAUCCAGCCAUGCCGCGUGUGUGAAGAAGGCCCUCGGGUUGUAAAGCACUUUCAGUGAGGAAGAACGCCUGGUGGUUAAUACCCAUCAGGAAAGACAUCACUCACAGAAGAAGCACCGGCUAACUCCGUGCCAGCAGCCGCGGUAAUACGGAGGGUGCGAGCGUUAAUCGGAAUUACUGGGCGUAAAGCGCGCGUAGGUGGCUUGAUAAGCCGGUUGUGAAAGCCCCGGGCUCAACCUGGGAACGGCAUCCGGAACUGUCAAGCUAGAGUGCAGGAGAGGAAGGUAGAAUUCCCGGUGUAGCGGUGAAAUGCGUAGAGAUCGGGAGGAAUACCAGUAGCGAAGGCGGCCUUCUGGACUGACACUGACACUGAGGUGCGAAAGCGUGGGUAGCAAACAGGAUUAGAUACCCGUGUAGUC